rnacentral:lncRNA from 1 species
GAUUAUUUCUAUUAGCUUAACAUUGAUUGAACAAUCUAAAACCAUUAUGAAGUCAGUAUUUUUAGUGUUCAGAUUUACUGUUUGUUUCCUUUCUUGAAAUGGAUUCUUCAGAAGACAUAUUUGAAUUGAAAUUAUUGUAUGCCUUAAAGCCUCUGACCUUCUGUUCAUAAUAGUACAUGAAUAAGCACAGUAUCCCAUCCUCCUAUGUAGCAUUAAUGUAAAGGAAAUGUAUGAAAAGGGAAAAGGGGGUUCUUAGUGUCCAGAGAUAAAAACACAAGAGCAAAUCCUUGCCCACCACUGCAACUGUAAUAUUGUUAGAUUUUGCAGCUAAACUGAAAACAAAAAUUGAAAGCCACUCAGGAAAGAUAUGAAACUCAACAGUGCAAUAAUGGUUCAGAUUCUUAUGCAAUUUAAGGUUGAAAUCAAAUCCAAAUGUGUCUCAUAAGCUUGCUGUCCCCAUUUGCAUAUGAUUUUUUUCUUUUUCUCUAGAAAGACCACAAAGACAUUCAAAUUCAAGUCUUCAUUGGUACUUUGGGAGCAAUUAAUCCAACUUGUGUUAAAACAGUACCACAAGGGACCUCUACCCAAAACCAGUACUGAAAAGAAGAAACGGGUCACAAAUUGGGUUUACAAAGAGGGUACCCUGUACCAUCGUAAGGGGGAUGAAAGCAGAGAGUUAAGACCUCACCUUCAACACUAUGACAAUCUUUAGCCCCUACUCUGCAGAGAGCAGUGACAGGAAGUGCUGAAUCCUCAAAAUGUGACCUAGAAGGAGAAAAUGAAAGUUUAUUUAUUCAACGGAAGAAAGAAAGGAAAAAAUAUAUAUAUUUAAAAUAGGGAAGAGAAGCCUGCAGGAAGACUUUAUAUAUGGCCAUAAGCUGCAAGGUGGGAGAACUCUGGGAAGAGAAAAAAAAAAAAAGACCCACAAAGUGAGAUGUAGGGGAAAGGGGAAAGAAUACACACACACACAUACACAAAAUAAAUAAUAAAAUAAAAUAAAAUAAAAUAAAAUA